CAGGGGAUGCAAGCGUUACUCGGAAUUACUGGGCGUAAAGCGUCUGCAGGUGUCCUUCCACGUCUGAUGUAAAAGCACGGAGCUCAACUCCGUGUACGUGUCGGAAACGAGAGGGAUUGAGUCACUCAGAGGUAUCUGGAAUGUCGUGUGUAGGGGUAAAAUCCGUAGAUCCACGAUGGAACGCCAAAAGCGAAGGCAGGAUACUGGGAGUGUACUGACACUCAGAGACGAAAGCGUGGGGAGCAAAGGGGAUUAGAUACCCCCGUAGUCCACGCCCUAAACUAUGUGAGCUCGGUGUAGGAAUUUUCAAUUGUUCCUGUGCCUUAGCUAACGCGUUAAGCUCACCGCCUGGGAAGUACGGCCGCAAGGCUA
rnacentral:rRNA from 1 species